rnacentral:rRNA from 1 species
GUGUCAGCAGCCGCGGUAAGACGGAGGGUGCUAGCGUUGUUCGGAAUUACUGGGCGUAAAGGGCGCGUAGGCGGCCUGAUCAGUCGGGUGUGAAAGCCCGGGGCUCAACCCCGGAACGGCACCCGAGACGGUCAGGCUGGAGACCGGGAGAGGAGGGUGGAAUAGCCAGUGUAGAGGUGAAAUUCGUAGAUAUUGGCUGGAACACCGGUGGCGAAAGCGGCUCUCUGGCCCGGUUCUGACGCUGAGGCGCGAAAGCGUGGGGAGCAAACAGGAUUAGAUACCCCCGUAGUCC